UGGGGAAUAUUGGACAAUGGGCGAAAGCCUGAUCCAGCCAUGCCGCGUGAGUGAAGAAGGCCUUAGGGUUGUAAAGCUCUUUCAGCGGGGAAGAUAAUGACGGUACCCGCAGAAGAAGCCCCGGCUAACUUCGUGCCAGCAGCCGCGGUAAUACGAAGGGGGCUAGCGUUGUUCGGAUUUACUGGGCGUAAAGCGCGCGUAGGCGGGUCACUAAGUCAGGGGUGAAAUCCCGAGGCUUAACCUCGGAACUGCCUUUGAUACUGGUGACCUGGAGAUCGGGAGAGGUUGGUGGAAUUCCGAGUGUAGAGGUGAAAUUCGUAGAUAUUCGGAGGAACACCAGAAGCGAAGGCGGCCAACUGGCCCGAUACUGACGCUGAGGCGCGAAAGCGUGGGGAGCAAACAGG
rnacentral:rRNA from 1 species